UGGAAUUCAGAUAAAUUUAAACUCGUAGCCUUUUAGUCUAUCACAAUGGAGCAGCUUUGGAACCUCUUAGACUUUUCGUACACACUAUUGCGGUAAGCCUCAUAUUUUAGCCCUUGAGUACAUCAUCUGCCCUGGGCAUCCCCCAACUCUGACAUUGUGUCACAGAACUCAGAAUACACUUUUAUGAUCCAGUCCUCGAGGCAUCCUCUGUAUCUUGUAUGCACUGGUAUUGGCAGGUACUGGGCUAUAACAAAGUUCACCACAAAUCAAUGAGAAAAGGGUUGAAAUCCUGCUUGGUAAAUAUUUUGGGGUGUCCGGUUUCAGCAAGUCCUUUUUAUAUUUUUUCCGUAGUGUUUUUGGAUUUGAUGAUCCUAAUUAUAAAGCCUCAUCAUAAC